GAAGUUUGAUUGAUAGCCUUAGACGGUCAGCUAGCACUCUCUUCCACAACCUACUUAUUAGUUCAGCAAAAUUAUGGUUAUUCUUUCAAGCCCAGCUUACAUGUCACUCCUAGGAUUAUAAAUUCGAAUGUCCCCAUGAUAUACUAUUUUACGUUCUUUGCUUUUUCUAGUGCAUAUUACGGUAUGAUUAGUUAUGGCAUAAAAAUCAUUUUUUCCUCAUCAAUUUCUGGGACAGUUCCUGGUGGAAAAAGGGAAAUAAUCAGCACAUCUGCAUGUGUGCCCAUCUCAGAGACACAAACUGUGAAUAACAACUCACUUGGCUUCAUAACCAAGACCUACUCUGAGGAAUUGCAUCUCUUCCUUGGAGACCUUGAUUGGCCUGCUAGGUUAAAGGCAUUUCACUAAAUUCUUGGAGGAGUCUGAGAGAACUUGGGGGUGCUUGAGGAACCCAAAGGUGUGAAGUAAAAGCUGGAAACCAAGAUUGCUGGGAAAGUUCAGAGAAAGUAGAGAUUACUUCGUUUGUUGGAGAUCACAUGCAAGGGAGUCUACUCCGAGAUCAAAGGCAACCUAUAGCAAUUUAUGAGAAAUGAAGGAAGUGGGAGAGAUGCUAAGUUACUUUAAGGGAUGUUCUGAAAUCAUGAAUCUAGCUGGAAUAGCUGGUGUUGGCUGUGUCCAGAAGAGCUGGGACAAGGAUAGACAGGAUUUCCACAUGUCGCCCAGGCUGAUCUCAGACUCCUGACCUGGAUCUUCCCACCUCAGCCACUGAACGUGCUGGGAUUACAGGGAAACUCCUAUUGUGAUCUUAAGGGCUGUAACCCAGAGAAUCUGGUUCUUCCUGGAGUAUUUCAGCAGGGAUCAGGUUAAAUAGGUCUACUUGAAGUUCACAACUGCCAAAACCGCGUGUUCAGACUGAAAGGCUGGGAGCAUUUCAGACGCAUUUAUGAACUUCCACCAAGAUGAUCCGGCAGGCUGAAAUCGCAGGGAGAGCGUCUGUUCAACAAACCCUUUCUUCUUGAUUGAAUUAGUGUUACCCACUAACAGGAUGAGGAAUUCCCACUCCACAAGCUGACUUUUUUUCCUCUUUCCACCUCCCGCCUCCCUCCAUUAAAAUGUAAACUUGAUUCCUGUGUCCUUUGCCGGAGCCUGGCUUCCCUGUAAGCCCAUCAUAAACAUCUUGGUAGAAAUGCAAC
rnacentral:lncRNA from 1 species